rnacentral:rRNA from 1 species
GAUGAACGCUAGCGGCAGGCCUAACACAUGCAAGUCGAGGGAGAAGCCCUUUCGGGGGCAGAAACCGGCGCACGGGUGCGUAACGCGUAUGCAACCUACCUUUCACAGGGGGAUAGCCCGAAGAAAUUUGGAUUAAUACCCCAUAAUAUUAUUGGAUGGCAUCAUUUGAUAAUUAAAACUGCGGUGGUGAAAGAUGGGCAUGCGUCCUAUUAGCUAGUUGGAGUGGUAACGGCACCCCAAGGCUACGAUAGGUAGGGGUCCUGAGAGGGAGAUCCCCCACACUGGUACUGAGACAGGGACCAGACUCCUACGGGAGGCAGCAGUGAGGAAUAUUGGUCAAUGGUCGGAAGACUGAACCAGCCAUGCCGCGUGCAGGAAGAAUGCCUUAUGGGUUGUAAACUGCUUUUAUAUGGGAAGAAUAAGGCGUACGUGUAC